rnacentral:rRNA from 1 species
GACGAACGCUGGCGGCGUGCUUAACACAUGCAAGUCGAACGGAAAGGCCCCUUUGGGGGUACUCGAGUGGCGAACGGGUGAGUAACACGUGAGUAACCUGCCCUUGACUUCGGGAUAACUUCAGGAAACUGGGGCUAAUACCGGAUAGGAAUCCUUGCUGCAUGGUGGGGGUUGGAAAGCUUCGGCGGUUUUGGAUGGACUCGCGGCUUAUCAGCUUGUUGGUGGGGUAGUGGCUUACCAAGGCUUUGACGGGUAGCCGGCCUGAGAGGGCGACCGGCCAAAUUGGGACGGGGAUACGGCCCAGACUCCUCCGGGAGGCAGCGGUGGGGAAUUUUGCACAAGGGGCGGAAGCCUGAUGCAGCAACGCCGGGGGGGGGGUGACGGCCUUCGGGUUGUAAACCCCUUUCAGCAGGGGCGAAGUUUGUGGUGACGGUCCCGGCAGAAGAAGCACCGGCAAACUACGG